rnacentral:rRNA from 1 species
CAGCCGCCGCGGUAAUACGGAAGGUGCAAGCGUUGUUCGGAUUGACUGGGUGUAAAGCGCAUGUAGGCGGAUUUUUAAGUCGGUUGUGAAAGCCCCGAGCUCAACUUGGGAAUUGCAACCGAAACUAUUGAUCUUGAAUACCUUAGAGGUUGGCGGAAUUCCAGGUGUAGGAGUGAAAUCCGUAGAUAUCUGGAGGAACACCAGAGGCGAAGGCGGCCAACUGGAAGUGUAUUGACGCUGAGAUGCGAAAGCGUGGGGAGCAAACAGGAUUAGAUACCCUGGUAGUCCACGCCGUAAACGAUGGGUAUUAAGUGUUUGGAGUGUUAACCCUCUGAGUACUACAGCUAACGCGUUAAAUAUCCCACCUGGGGAGUACGGUCGCAAGGCUAAAACUCAAAGGAAUUGACGGGGGCCUGCACAAGCGGUGGAGUAUGUGGUUUAAUUCGACGCAACGCGCAGAACCUUACCCAGACUUAACAUCCCGGGACAACCUCAGAGAUGAGGCUUCCUCUUCGGAGGCUCGGUGAUAGGUGCUGCAUGGCUGUCGUCAGCUCGUGUCGUAAGAUGUUCGGUUAAGUCCGGCAACGAGCGCAACCCUUGUCUUUAGUUGCCAUCAUUAAGUUCGGCACUCUAGAGAUACUGCCGAUGUUAAAUCGGAGGAAGGCGGGGAUGACGUCAAGUCCUCAUGGCCCUUACGUUUGGGGCUACACACGUACUACAAUGGCG